rnacentral:rRNA from 1 species
UGGGGAAUCUUGCGCAAUGGGCGAAAGCCUGACGCAGCAAUGCCGCGUGAGGGAAGACGGUCUUAGGAUUGUAAACCUCUUUCAGCAGGGACGAAAACAGACGGUACCUGCAGAAGAAGCCCCGGCUAACUACGUGCCAGCAGCCGCGGUAAUACGUAGGGGGCAAGCGUUGUCCGGAAUCAUUGGGCGUAAAGAGCGUGUAGGUGGACUGGAAGGUCUGGUGUGAAAGCCCGGGGCUCAACCCCGGAGGGUCACUGGAAACCAACAGUCUUGAGUCCGGAAGAGGAGAGUGGAAUUCCUAGUGUAGCGGUGGAAUGCGCAGAUAUUAGGAGGAACACCAAUGGCGAAGGCAGCUCUCUGGUACGUGACUGACACUGAGACGCGAAAGCGUGGGGAGCGAACA